rnacentral:rRNA from 1 species
AGCGCAGGCGGGAAGACAAGUUGGAAGUGAAAUCUAUGGGCUCAACCCAUAAACUGCUUUCAAAACUGUUUUUCUUGAGUAGUGCAGAGGUAGGCGGAAUUCCCGGUGUAGCGGUGGAAUGCGUAGAUAUCGGGAGGAACACUAGUGGCGAAGGCGGCCUACUGGGCACCAACUGACGCUGAGGCUCGAAAGUGUGGGUAGCAAACA